rnacentral:rRNA from 1 species
UACGGAGGGUGCUAGCGUUGUUCGGAAUUACUGGGCGUAAAGCGCACGUAGGCGGCUUUGUAAGUUAGAGGUGAAAGCCCGGGGCUCAACUCCGGAAUUGCCUUUAAGACUGCAUCGCUAGAAUUGUGGAGAGGUAAGUGGAAUUCCGAGUGUAGAGGUGAAAUUCGUAGAUAUUCGGAAGAACACCAGUGGCGAAGGCGACUUACUGGACACAUAUUGACGCUGAGGUGCGAAAGCGUGGGGAGCAAACAGG